rnacentral:rRNA from 1 species
UACAGAGGGUGCAAGCGUUAAUCGGAAUUACUGGGCGUAAAGCGUGCGUAGUCGGUUAUUUAAGUCGGGUGUGAAAUCCCCGGGCUCAACCUGGGAAUUGCAUUCGAUACUGGAUAGCUAGAGUUCGGCAGAGGGAAGCGGAAUUUCGGGUGUAGCGGUGAAAUGCGUAGAUAUCCGAAGGAACAUCAGUGGCGAAAGCGGCUUCCUGGACCAGAACUGACGAUCAGGCACGAAAGCGUGGGGAGCAAAC